ensembl:lncRNA
UUGCUUUCUUCAGUGAAAUACAGACUGUAUAAAACGCCAAAUAUACCAAAAGCUAAAUGAAGCAGUGAUUUACGACUAUUUAACCGUGUGUUAAUCCUUACUGAAACAUUCAAACUACAAACAUUUAACCAGUUAAACAUAAUGAAUACAUGACAACUAGAUACAAACAUUUUAUAAAAAAUAAUUCAUACAAAAAGUCAAGAGUUGGCUAUAACAUGAGUACAAACAAAGUGAGUGUGUUUGUGUACAUUAUAAAUUCCCCAUCAUAAAAAUGUAUCUCCAUUCCCCAAUCAAACACCUUCAUCGACACCAAAAGCAAAACAAAAAAUGUGUACUUUUUCUCCAAUCUGGCAACCCAUAAAAUUCUACAUAGCCUUGUAUAAAAUGCAUUAUGAAGAAAAUCGUGUAGGUCAUUUGAGGCUUGACCCCUGCUUUGCUUCAGCUGAGGAGAAGAGCAUAUAUCUGAGUAGCUUUAGGUACGAUCAUCCACGUACAGCACACCCAAACUGAUCAUCCACGUACAGCAUACCCAAAACUGCAUAUCGUGGUUUCCCCUCCUGAAUUGAGACAACUAAUAACAUGAGAUGCCGUGCAAUAAUACAAUUUAAAAAACGGUCUUACUCAAAUAAAAUAUAUUUAAAAAAAGACGUAUACAAAAUAUACAAGAGGGGUAACAUUUGAAUACAUUAUUUUCUUUUAGAAAAUACGAACUGUGUACGAUGCUAACUUUUGCUAUACAAGGUUUGUCAGAAUUAAAACUGGGAACUCACAGCCUUUAUCCUGCCAUGAAUAAGUACAACAGUGAUGGGUUUUGUGGGAUUGAAAGGUAUGUCAAUGUUACAUUUACCAGUCAUUUUUUACAAAAGAGAACAUAGAUGUAAGGUUGUAAGGCAAUGUCAAAAUCAGUUCAGGGUAACAAUGGAGUCCCUAACUGUGAUUGUUUUUUAAUUAAAAAUUGUUUUAAAAAAUAAAAAUAAUUAGCUUCUCAGCAAAGAGCAAUUGCUCAAGCAAGAAUUUUGCAAUGACUGUCUAGGAGUGGUGUGAGUGGAGGAGGGGAACCUAGCUGUUAUUGGCAGAGAGGGUCUGAGUGGGGAGGGAACCUAGCUGUUAUUGGCAGAGAGGGUCUGAGUGGGGAGGGAACCUAGCUGUUAUUGGCAGAGAGGGUCUGAGUGGGGAGGGAACCUAGCUGUUAUUGGCAGAGAGGGUCUGAGUGGGGAGGGAACCUAGCUGUUAUUGGCAGAGAGGGUCUGAGUGGGGAGGGA